AGAGUUUGAUCCUGGCUCAGGAGAAACGCUGGCGGCGUGCCUAACACAUGCAAGUCGAACGUCCUGCUUCUUACGAAGCAGGGAGUGGCGGACGGGUGAGUAACACGUGGGUAACCUGCCCUCUGGUGAGGAAUACCGGCGAGAAAUCGUCGAAAAUACCGCAUAGGCUCGGCAACGAGUAAAGCUUCUCGCACGACGAGAAGCGCCAGAGGAUGGGCCUGCGCCCGAUUAGCUAGUUGGUGGGGUAAGAGCCCACCAAGGCAACGAUCGGUAGCUGGUCUGAGAGGAUGAGCAGCCACACUGGGAUUGAGAACGGCCCAAACUCCUACGGGAGGCAGCAGUGAGGAAUUUUCCGCAAUGGGCAAACGCCUGACGGAGCAACGCCGCGUGCAGGAAGAAGGUCUUCGGAUUGUAAACUGCUUUUCCCAGGGAAGAGUAAGGACGGUACCUGGGGAAUCAGCCCCGGCUAACUACGUGCCAGCAGCCGCGGUAAGACGUAGGGGGCGAGCGUUAUCCGGAAUUACUGGGCGUAAAGCGUCCGCGGGCGGUCUGUCAAGUUCAGGGUGACAGUCAUCAGCUUAACUGGUGAAGUACUUUGAAAACUGGUUGACUUGAGAGCGAGAGAGGAACCUGGAACUCCGGGUGGAGCAGUGAAAUGCGUAGAGAUCCGGAGGAACACCACAGGCGAAGGCAG
rnacentral:rRNA from 1 species